GGUGCGUAGCAUAGCGGUAGGUUGUGUGCUAGAUGAUCUGGUGGUCGUGGGAUCGAUUCCCCACGGCGCCA
rnacentral:tRNA from 1 species